UACGUAGGGGGCAAGCGGUUGUCCGGAAUCAUUGGGCGUAAAGCGCGUGUAGGCGGUCCGGUAAGUCCGCUGUGAAAGUCCAGGGCUCAACCCUGGGAUGCCGGUGGAUACUGUCGGGCUAGAGUACGGAAGAGGCGAGUGGAAUUCCCGGUGUAGCGGUGAAAUGCGCAGAUAUCGGGAGGAACACCAAUUGCGAAGGCAGCUCGCUGGGACGUUACUGACGCUGAGACGCGAAAGCGUGGGGAGCAAACAGG
rnacentral:rRNA from 1 species